UAGCUAGUUGGUAGGGUAAAGGCCUACCAAGGCGACGAUCGGUAGCUGGUCUGAGAGGAUGGCCAGCCACACUGGAACUGAGACACGGUCCAGACUCCUACGGGAGGCAGCAGUGGGGAAUAUUGGACAAUGGGGGCAACCCUGAUCCAGCAAUGCCGCGUGUGUGAAGAAGGCCUGAGGGUUGUAAAGCACUUUCAGUGGGGAGGAGGGUUGAUUGGUUAAGAGCUGGUUAAUUGGACGUUACCCACAGAAGAAGCACCGGCUAACUCCGUGCCAGCAGCCGCGGUAAUACGGAGGGUGCGAGCGUUAAUCGGAAUUACUGGGCGUAAAGGGUGCGUAGGUGGUUUAUUAAGUUAUGUGUAAAAUCCCUGGGCUCAACCUGGGCAGGUCAUAUAAUACUGGUAGACUCGAGUAUGGGAGAGGGUAGUGGAAUUUCCGGUGUAGCGGUGAAAUGCGUAGAGAUCGGAAGGAACACCAGUGGCGAAGGCGGCUACCUGGCCUAAUACUGACACUGAGGCACGAAAGCGUGGGGAGCAAACAGGAUUAGAUACCCUGGUAGUCCACGCUGUAAACGAUGUCAACUAGCUGUUGGUUAUAUGAAUAUAAUUAGUGGCGC
rnacentral:rRNA from 1 species